AAGUCGUAACAAGGUUUCCGUAGGUGAACCUGCGGAAGGAUCAUUAUCGAGUUUUGAAAAGGGUUGUAGCUGGCCUCUAAAAAAAAGGAGGUAUGUGCACACCCGGCUCAUCCACUCUCAAACCCCUGUGCACUUAUCGUAGGCUCGGUGGAAGAGGCUGACUUCGGUCGGUUUCGAAAGCCUUGCCUAUGUUCAUAUACAUACGCUUCAGUUUAAGAAUGUCAUUACGCGUGUAACGCAAAUAAAUACAACUUUCAGCAACGGAUCUCUUGGCUCUC
rnacentral:misc_RNA from 1 species